rnacentral:rRNA from 1 species
AAUACAUGCAAGUCGAACGAGCAAUGGCAGUGGCGCACGGGUGCGUAACGCGUAACCAACCUACCCAGAACUGGGGGAUAGCCCGCCGAAAGGCGGAUUAAUACCGCAUAAGCUAAGCUGUCGGCAUCGGCGAUUUAGUAAAGAUUUAUUGGUUUUGGAUGGGGUUGCGUGCCAUUAGCUAGUUGGAGAGGUAACGGCUCACCAAGGCGACGAUGGCUAGGGGAGCUGAGAGGCUGGUCCCCCACACGGGCACUGAGAUACGGGCCCGACUCCUACGGGAGGCAGCAGUAGGGAAUAUUGGGCAAUGGGCGAGAGCCUGACCCAGCCAUGCCGCGUGCAGGAUGAAGGCUUUCUGAGUCGUAAACUGCUUUUGCCAGGGAAGAAAAAACGGAUGCGUCCGCUACUGACGGUACCUGGUGAAUAAG